UUUCCUUAUCUACCCACUGCCUGAGAAGAGCAAACCACAGAGCAUUCCCGGCAAUCUGCACCCACAACUCUCUUUGUGGUGUGAACACAAACAUCCUUUAUUAAUAACUGGCAGGCUAUCCAUCCUGAGAGGAAUAAGUACAUUAAAACCAGAA